rnacentral:rRNA from 1 species
UACGUAGGCAGCAAGCGUUGUUCGGAGUUACUGGGCGUAAAGCGUGCGCAGGCGGUAAGUUAAGUCUGAUGUGAAAGCCCCGGGCUCAACCUGGGAAUGGCAUUGGAAACUGGCUUGCUGGAGUGUGGCAGAGGGGGGUGGAAUUCCGCGUGUAGCAGUGAAAUGCGUAGAGAUGCGGAGGAACACCGAUGGCGAAGGCAGCCCCCUGGGCCAACACUGACGCUCAGGCACGAAAGCGUGGGGAGCAAACAGG